rnacentral:misc_RNA from 1 species
GGAGUCCAAAGCCGCGGAAUAUGAAGAGGUGCUGCCGGCUGCUUUCUGCGGUAGAGGCAGCGUCGCUCAUACGCCGCGUUGGUCCCUUUGCAGUGCACCGUGGUGAGACCAAGGGCGUCAUUGAAAUUCUCUCCGGCGACCCCAAUCACCCUGUGAAGAAGCUCAACCUUCUUGGCCUCGCCUAUGCAGCCGCUCUCACAGAGCUUUCAGAGCUACUCUCUGAGGAGCUCAACGCUGAAGCCCGUGUCGCCAUCUUCGCAGCACGUGACGGGUGCUCGUUUUCGGCUGGCAUCGACUUGAAGGAACUCUCGGGAAUGCGGCCGCCUUCUGGCAGUGGAGCCGCUGCCACUGCAGCAGCGUCGAGCGGCUCCAAAGCCCAUGCAAUGCUUCUUCAGAACCAGCACCGUGUGGUGCGCGCUUUCCAAGAUGGAAUAUCUUCGCUGGCGCGGUGCCGCAUUCCCAUCAUCGCCGCGAUCGAUGGCCAUUGCAUCGGUGGGGCUACAUCGGUCGCUUCUUCAUGCGACGUGCGUUACACCACAGCACGUGCAACCUUUUCUGUGAAGGAGGCAGCAGUGGGUCUCGCCGCGGACAUUGGCGUGCUGCAGCGUCUUCCCGCCAUUAUUGGUGAGGGACGCACGCGCGAGCUUGCCUUUACGUGCCGCGACUUCAGCGGUGUGGAGGCCAAAGCAAUGGGCUUUGUCGAGGAAGUGUGUACAGAUUAUCCAGCGCUCCUCACCCACGCGCGCAAGCGCGCAGCACAGAUAGCUGCCAACUCGCCACUGGGAGUGCAGAACACAAAGUUGGUCCUGAAUUGGGAACGGGAGCGCGCGGCCCAGACGUCGCUCGAGUACCAAGCUGCCAUCAACGCCUUUAGUCUGCACUGCAACGACAUCCCAGAGGCAGCGCGUGCGUUUGCUGAGAAGCGAGCGCCCGUAUUCACUGAUUACAUGGUGAAUCCCAGAGGAGGCCUGCCGCAUUCAAGGCAAUCGUGACUGUAAUGGCCGUAAGCAGUCCUCCUUGCGAGGGGGGUUUCCGCGUGUAUGCGUGCCCCUGUUUCUUCUCCCACACACACGCGAGCGAACAGGAGGUUUUCUUCCAUGCCUCCUCUCCUCUCUCCCCUCCAUGCGACUUUUAUCGCGCCUUUCAUGUUUAUCUAUGUGUGUAUUGUAGCAGAGUCUUACCCUGCUCGAAUUCCGGUUUCCGUUCUUUGGUGUGGAUGCUAGCGUUUCUUUUUUUUGUUUUGUUUUCGUUUUGUUGUGUUUGCUUGCUUGUCUGCCUUACUGUGUUGCUGUUUAUGGUUUCGCAUUGUGUGUGUGCGUCACUCCUCUGUGGUGAGCUCCUCUCAUAACUUCUGCCGCCCCACCAGUUUACUCUCCGGCGGCACAGCAGCUGAUGGGGUUCAGCGUCUUAUUUCUUGCGCUCCCUUUCUCUUGGGCCCCUCACAUCCUCUCCGAACGAAGUGGCACGCGAGAAUGCGUCCCUCUGACUGCCAGAUGUCGGGCCUACUACCCAAAGCAGCAGAAAAAAAAGCAAAGAAAAACAGAAUCAUCGCUAGAACCGGAUCCUUACACCGACAAGUGAUCACGAUGCAACGGAGGAGAGGGAGAGUACGGAAUCGAGUGAAAGUCCUGUGUGGUCUCGUGCUCCCUCCCUAGUUCUCCCAACCCAGAAAUAUUGUGCGCCGAAGAAGCAUUUAAGCAUUACCCUGUAUUAUUGUUUACCCCGCACCGCUAUAU